GUUCGGGGCCUUGAAACAGUGAGCUGUCUUUGUUCGAAAUACAGGUGAACGGCAAUCAUGUGAUUAACACACACACACACAUAAAAAGCUUUUUAACAGCGCCCGCCUGGCCUCAGAACUGCCCGGAGAGAAGCCGCCUUGGAUGGACAGAGGGACGGAGCAGCAAGCAUCCGGCUUCCCCGGCUCCCCUGCAGCGGUCUCCAACUGCUGUCUGCCCGCUGCCCGCCUGCCUGGCAUCUCUCUCCCGUGCUUCCUAUAUGGCAAGCCAGGGACUGAAACUUACGAUUUGACUGGACAAUCUAUAAGGUGCUAGCUGCAUUCCUGGCCUGGGAGCAGGGAGCCUGUCUGACCCCUGUGUCACACUGGAUGGUUUUACAGAGGUGCCCCACCUGAUGCUGGAUGGAAGUCAUCACCCUACAGUGUGGGUAUCAAGGGGGAACAAGGGGGCUAGGAAGCUCCAGAGGGAUUAGGUGGUCUCCAGUCACUCCCCUCUGUGUGAACCCUGCUGCUCUUCCACUCUGGAGCUGGAAAGCUGUCAGCUGCCACGCCAUGGUGCCAAGCACAUAGUAGGACUUCAAGCAUGUUUGCCCUGUACUUGUCUGCUCUUGGCUGACUUCAAAGCCUUGUCCCCCAACUACCCACAUGGCCACCUUACUCAACAGAAAUAUUCCUGUGAUAGAGACAGAAGGGCCCCCUGUUGGUCUGGAGGGUAUGGGGGGCAUUGAUCUCCCCACUAUCCAAACCAAA
rnacentral:lncRNA from 1 species